rnacentral:hammerhead_ribozyme from 1 species
AUCCAGUUGACGAGUCUUAAAUAGGACGAAAUGCACAUCCUGGAU